GGGCGCCUCCUCGUUUUACUGGCUGUUUUGUGGGUGUGUGACGGCGUUAAGUUCGGUCAGCUGUGCAGCAGUAACCCGAGCAACAGCCGGAGGACGUCGGACAGAUGG